UUUUAGCCCCGAUAGCAGCGGCAUCCUCUUGUGGCGGAGUUCGCCACAAGAGAUAUAGCGGAUAGCGGGAUUAGCU
rnacentral:sRNA from 1 species